rnacentral:rRNA from 1 species
GUCCACGCCCUAAACGAUGCGAACUGGAUGUUGGGUGCAAUUUGGCACGCAGUAUCGAAGCUAACGCGUUAAGUUCGCCGCCUGGGGAGUACGGUCGCAAGACUGAAACUCAAAGGAAUUGACGGGGGCCCGCACAAGCGGUGGAGUAUGUGGUUUAAUUCGAUGCAACGCGAAGAACCUUACCUGGCCUUGACAUGCGCGGAACUUUCCAGAGAUGGAUUGGUGCCUUCGGGAACCGUGACACAGGUGCUGCAUGGCUGUCGU